UACGAAGGGGGCUAGCGUUGCUCGGAAUCACUGGGCGUAAAGCGCACGUAGGCGGCUUUUUAAGUCAGGGGUGAAAUCCUGGAGCUCAACUCCAGAACUGCCUUUGAUACUGGCGGUCUCGAGUCCGGGAGAGGUGAGUGGAACUGCGAGUGUAGAGGUGAAAUUCGUAGAUAUUCGCAAGAACACCAGUGGCGAAGGCGGCUCACUGGCCCGGUACUGACGCUGAGGUGCGAAAGCGUGGGGAGCAAACAGG
rnacentral:rRNA from 1 species